GACGCAGCGACGCCGCGUGGGUGAUGAAGGCUUUCGGGUUGUAAAGCCCUGUUAGGUGGGAAGAAAUUCCCUAUGGUUAAUACCCAUAGGGAUUGACGGUACCACCAGAGGAAGCACCGGCUAACUCCGUGCCAGCAGCCGCGGUAAUACGGAGGGUGCAAGCGUUGUUCGGAAUCACUGGGCGUAAAGCGGGUGUAGGCGGUCGGGCAAGUCGAAUGUGAAAGUCCUCGGCUCAACUGAGGAAGUGCAUCCGAAACUGCUCGACUUGAGUAUGAGAGAGGAAGGCGGAAUUCCCGGUGUAGCGGUGACAUGCGUAGAUAUCGGGAGGAACACCGGUGGCGAAGGCGGCCUUCUGGCUCAAUACUGACGCUGAGACCCGAAAGCGUGGGGAGCAAACAGGAUUAGAUACCCUGGUAGUCCACGCCGUAAACGUUGGGUACUAGGUGUGGGGGGUUUUAUACCUUCUGUGCCGGAGCUAACGCAUUAAGUACCCCGCCUGGGGGAGUACGGA
rnacentral:rRNA from 1 species